UACAGAGAGUGCAAGCGUUAUUCGGAUUCACUGGGCGUAAAGGGUGCGCAGGCGGCCAAGUGUGUUAGGCGUGAAAGCCCGGGGCUCAACCCCGGAAUUGCACCUAAAACUACAUGGCUAGAGCAUUGGAGAGGGUAGCGGAAUUCACGGUGUAGCAGUGAAAUGCGUAGAUAUCGUGAGGAACACCAGAGGCGAAGGCGGCUCGCUGGACAGUUGCUGACGCUCAGGCACGAAAGCGUGGGGAGCAAAAGGG
rnacentral:rRNA from 1 species